rnacentral:rRNA from 1 species
GAGUUUGAUCCUGGCUCAGGAUGAACGCUGGCGGCGUGCUUAACACAUGCAAGUCGAACGAAGCAGCAUGGAACGAAUCUUCGGAGGAGGGAAAUGGUGACUGAGUGGCGGACGGGUGAGUAACGCGUGGGUAACCUGCCUCGUACAGGGGGACAACAGUUGGAAACGACUGCUAAUACCGCAUAAGCGCACGAUACUGCAUGGUAUUGUGUGAAAAACUGAGGUGGUACGAGAUGGACCCGCGUCUGAUUAGCUGGUUGGUGGGGUAACGGCCUACCAAGGCGACGAUCAGUAGCCGACCUGAGAGGGUGACCGGCCACAUUGGGACUGAGACACGGCCCAAACUCCUACGGGAGGCAGCAGUGGGGAAUAUUGCACAAUGGGGGAAACCCUGAUGCAGCGACGCCGCGUGAAGGAAGAAGUAUUUCGGUAUGUAAACUUCUAUCAGCAGGGAAGAAAAUGACGGUACCUGAGUAAGAAGCCCCGGCUAACUACGUGCCAGCAGCCGCGGUAAUACGUAGGGGGCAAGCGUUAUCCGGAUUUACUGGGUGUAAAGGGAGCGUAGACGGUAAUGUAAGUCUGAUGUGAAAGCCCGGGGCUCAACCCCGGGACUGCAUUGGAAACUAUGUAACUAGAGUACC